rnacentral:rRNA from 1 species
UAACGCGUGGGUAACCUGCCUUGUACUGGGGGAUAGCAGCUGGAAACGGCUGGUAAUACCGCAUAAGCGCACAAUGUUGCAUGACAUGGUGUGAAAAACUCCGGUGGUAUAAGAUGGACCCGCGUCUGAUUAGCUAGUUGGUGAGAUAACAGCCCACCAAGGCGACGAUCAGUAGCCGACCUGAGAGGGUGACCGGCCACAUUGGGACUGAGACACGGCCCAGACUCCUACGGGAGGCAGCAUG